UUUCCGUAGGUGAACCUGCGGAAGGAUCAUUAACGGGUGAGGGUCUCUCAGGCCCGACCUCCUACCCUGCGGUUUUGUGACCUGGUUACUUUGGGGGGCCUGCCUCGAUGAGAGGCCGUCGGUAGCUCACCGCUUUGGGUCCGUGCCCGUCAGUAGACCCAUUAAAUGCUUAAUAAACCUAUUGUCUGAGUUAGUGGAUAUAAUGAAAAAAAACUUUCAGCAACGGAUCUCUUGGCUCUG
rnacentral:misc_RNA from 1 species